GUAGCAUAUUCGACAGUGAGACUAUCUGUUUAAUAAAAAUUUAUAAAUAGGCUGAACAUGAUUUUUUUCAGAGACUUUUGAUGAUCUGACAUUUUCAUUUUUGUUUCAGAUUGAAUUCUCUAGUUAGAGAGCUCCAAGAAUUCUCCAAUAAGACGGUGAUGAUCUUUCUUGAAAUAGAUUCAAAGGAGGCUGAUUGCGCACACCUUGUUCGAUCAUAUUCUGCACAAAGAAGGUGCUUCUGGGUUGAUCACAUUGAGGCUUGACAUCCUUGAAGUGAUGGAGGUUGCUUUGAGUAAUUCAUCUUUGAGUAGGAGUUCUUCUUUGAGCAUGAUUUCUUCCUUCACUCUUUCUCUCCUCUCAAUCUCUUCUUUCUCUUUCUUUUGUUUCUCCUCCCUUUCUCUUCUCUCAUUUUCUUCUUUCUCUUUCUUUUCUCUUUCCUCCCUUUCUCUUCUCUCAUUUUCUUCUUUUUCUUUCUUUUCUAUCUCCUCCCUUUCUCUUCUAGCUUCCUCCUCUCUAACUUUUUUCUCUAAUUGUAUUUGUUCCUCUUUCUUCCUUUCCAUUUAUCUUAUUUCCUUAUCCCUCAAGAGCU
rnacentral:lncRNA from 1 species